ACGGGUGAGUAAUAUAUCGGAACGUGCCCAGUCGUGGGGGAUAACUGUUCGAAAGAAUAGCUAAUACCGCAUACGACCUGAGGGUGAAAGCGGGGGAUCGCAAGACCUCGCGCGAUUGGAGCGGCCGAUAUCAGAUUAGGUAGUUGGUGGGGUAAAAGCCCACCAAGCCAACGAUCUGUAGCUGGUCUGAGAGGACGACCAGCCACACUGGGACUGAGACACGGCCCAGACUCCUACGGGAGGCAGCAGUGGGGAAUUUUGGACAAUGGGCGCAAGCCUGAUCCAGCCAUGCCGCGUGCGGGAAGAAGGCCUUCGGGUUGUAAACCGCUUUUGUCAGGGAAGAAAAGGUUCUGGUUAAUACCUGGGACUCAUGACGGUACCUGAAGAAUAAGCACCGGCUAACUACGUGCCAGCAGCCGCGGUAAUACGUAGGGUGCAAGCGUUAAUCGGAAUUACUGGGCGUAAAGCGUGCGCAGGCGGUUAUGCAAGACAGAGGUGAAAUCCCCGGGCUCAACCUGGGAACUGCCUUUGUGACUGCAUAGCUAGAGUACGGUAGAGGGGGAUGGAAUUCCGCGUGUAGCAGUGAA
rnacentral:rRNA from 1 species